UGCCCGGUAGUGGGGGACAACAGUCGGAAACGGCUGCUAAUACCGCAAACGCCCUACGGGGGAAAGCAGGGGAUCUUCGGACCUUGCGCUAUUGGAUGAGCCUAAGUCGGAUUAGCUAGUUGGUGAGGUAAAGGCUCACCAAGGCCACGAUCCGUAGCUGGUUUGAGAGGAUGAUCAGCCACAUCGGGACUGAGACACGGCCCGAACUCCUACGGGAGGCAGCAGUGGGGAAUAUUGGACAAUGGGGGCAACCCUGAUCCAGCCAUGCCGCGUGUGUGAAGAAGGCUUUCGGGUUGUAAAGCACUUUCAGCGAGGAGGAAGGCUCUAAAGUUAAUAC
rnacentral:rRNA from 1 species